ACCUGGCUGGCUCAGUCAGUGGAGCAUGAAACUCUUGAUCUCAGGGUUGUGAGUUUGAGCCCCAUGUAAGGUG
rnacentral:tRNA from 1 species